CCUACGGGGUGCAGCAGUGAGGAAUAUUGGUCAAUGGACGAGAGUCUGAACCAGCCAAGUAGCGUGAAGGAUGACUGCCCUAUGGGUUGUAAACUUCUUUUAUAUGGGAAUAAAAUGAUCCACGUGUGGGAUUUUGUAUGGACCAUAUGAAUAAGGAUCGGCUAACUCCGUGCCAGCAGCCGCGGUAAUACGGAGGAUCCGAGCGUUAUCCGGAUUUAUUGGGUUUAAAGGGAGCGUAGGUGGAUUGUUAAGUCAGUUGUGAAAGUUUGCGGCUCAACCGUAAAAUUGCAGUUGAAACUGGCAGUCUUGAGUACAGUAGAGGUGGGCGGAAUUCGUGGUGUAGCGGUGAAAUGCUUAGAUAUCACGAAGAACUCCGAUUGCGAAGGCAGUUCACUGGACUGCAACUGACACUGAGGCUCGAAAGUGUGGGUAUCAAACAGGAUUAGAUACCCGUGUAGUC
rnacentral:rRNA from 1 species